rfam:Branchiostoma floridae genomic scaffold BRAFLscaffold_103, whole genome shotgun sequence.
GUUAACCUGUGUGUAGAUGGUGUUCAGCACCAGGGACAGGUGUGUUUACCUGUUUGUGGAUGGUGUUCAUCACCAGGGACAGGUGUGUUUAUCU